AACGUAGGAGGCGAGCGUUAUCCGGAUUUACUGGGCGUAAAGCGCGUGCAGGUGGUUCGGUAAGUUGGAUGUGAAAGCUCCUGGCUUAACUGGGAGAGGUCGUUCAAUACUACCGGGCUUGAGUAUGGAAGAGGGAAGUGGAAUUCCGGGUGUAGUGGUGAAAUGCGUAGAUAUCCGGAGGAACACCAGUGGCGAAAGCGGCUUCCUGGUCCAUUACUGACACUCAGACGCGAAAGCUAGGGGAGCGAACGGG
rnacentral:rRNA from 1 species